GAUGAACGCUGGCGGCGUGCCUAAUACAUGCAAGUCGAGCGAACAGACGAGGAGCUUGCUCCUCUGACGUUAGCGGCGGACGGGUGAGUAACACGUGGAUAACCUACCUAUAAGACUGGGAUAACUUCGGGAAACCGGAGCUAAUACCGGAUAAUAUAUUGAACCGCAUGGUUCAAUAGUGAAAGACGGUUUUGCUGUCACUUAUAGAUGGAUCCGCGCCGCAUUAGCUAGUUGGUAAGGUAACGGCUUACCAAGGCAACGAUGCAUAGCCGACCUGAGAGGGUGAUCGGCCACACGGGAACUGAGACACGGUCCAGACUCCUACGGGAGGCAGCAGUAGGGAAUCUGCCGCAAUGGGCGAAAGCCUGACGGAGCAACGCCGCGUGAGUGAUGAAGGUCUUCGGAUCGUAAAACUCUGUUAUUAGGGAAGAACAAAUGUGUAAGUAACUAUGCACGUCUUGACGGUACCUAAUCAGAAAGCCACGGCUAACUACGUG
rnacentral:rRNA from 1 species